UAGCUCAUCAGCUAUUGUUAGUGUUAAGUGUAUUUUAUGCAUGGCCCAAGACAAUUCUUCUUCUUCCAACGUGACCCAAGGAAGUCAAAAGAUUGGACAUCUCUGCUGUAAAUCUUCAUCCUCAUCUGCCCCCAAAAUCACUGCCACCAUUAAUCAAGGCAAAUGUGUACUAGAGAAACAGAAAACCUAGAUCUUUGAAGGAUUAUUGAAAACUGCAUCCAUUACUAAUGCUAAUUCCUAUGGACCUGGAAUACCACUGUUGCCCACCAGUCAGAGAAGGGAUUUAUGGUGAGUUAGGUGGCUUCAUUUGACCAAAACAGAUAUACAGAGACUCUGGCACUUGGUAUGCAUCCGUGGAUUUGCCAAAUAUUUCUCUAUUAUGACACACACUAGAAGCAGAAGCAGGUUAGUUGUUCAUUCAUUUGUUCGUUCAUUUGUUUGUUGUACCUGGCAAGGACAAUAGUACAUCUUUUCCUUACUUACCUCAGUAUUGUUACCUCUCUGGUGCUGGGCUUAAGUUUGGUCUGUGGGAACCUGAACCAUCUCAAGGGACAUCAAGUUGAUAGAAUCUAGGGAGCUGAAGUAGCAGACACCAAGGAUGCCUGGGUAAAAAAAUUCACAACAAUGGGUAGAAGAGAAAUCUCCCAAAGCUACAGAAG
rnacentral:lncRNA from 1 species